AUGGAGUGCUAUGGGGCGCUAUGGGGCGCUAUGGGGCGCUAUGGGGCGCUGUGGGGCGCUAUGGGGCGCUAUGGGGCGCUAUGGGGCGCUAUGGGGUUACCUGUUAGCGGCCGUCCCCCGCAGGGCGUUGAGUCGGAGCUGCAGCCUCUCCCUGCUGUCCCCAUAGACCCCGUGCUGCCCGUGGGCCACCAGCGCGUCCGCCGCCUCCACCAGCGCCUCCAGCUGCGCCCGCACCGCCGCCAUGGCGUCACCCGCACCCGCAACACCCGAACCGGCAACAGCCGGACCGCGGGAAUCGUCACCGCCAGAAACAACGCCGGGAUCACCGCCAGAAUCACCGCCAGAAUCAACACCGCAACCUGUGAGGGGGGGGUCAGCGUCGCUGUCACCCGACGGUGUCACCCGACGGUGUCACCCGGUGGGGGGUCAGCGUCGCUGUCACCCAAUGGUGUCACCCGAUGGGGUCAACCAAUGGUGUCACCCGAUGGGGUCAACCUGAUGGUGUCAACCAAUGGUGUCACCCGACGGUGUCACCCGGUGGGGGGUCAGCGUUGCUGUCACCCAAUGGUGUCACCCGAUGGUGUCACCCGAUGGGGGGUCAGUGUCGCUGUCACCCGAUGGUAUCAACCAAUGGUGUCACCCAAUGGGGGGUCAGCGUUGCUGUCACCCGAUGGUGUCAACCAAUGGUAUCAACCAAUGGUGUCACCCAAUGGUGUCGACCUGAUGGUGUCACCCAAUGGUGUCACCCUGAUGGUGUCAACCUGAUGGUGUCAACCUGAUGGCGUCACCUGAUGGUGUCAACCCUACCGUCACCCGCGUCACGCUGUCACCCUGUGUCACCCCUACCAUCGCAUCGUCACCCCCCACCGUCACCCCUACAGUCACACUGUCAGCCCUGGAACCACCAGCACCUGUGGGGGUCACCGUCACUGUCACCCGCUGGCGUCACUCCCACUGUCAGCCCUCAGUGUCACCCCUCCUGCCACCCUGUCACCCCUCCUGCCACCGUCACCCCUCCUGUCACCCCUCCUGUCACACUGUCAGCCCUGUCACCCCUCCUGCCAGCCUGUCACCCCUACUGUCACAGUCAGCCCUCACU
rnacentral:lncRNA from 1 species